rnacentral:lncRNA from 1 species
GUCAAGAUCUAUCUGCCCUGGAAUUUUCAGAUGAAUUGGAUAAUCGGUUGUUAGGUUGCUGUCCCUGAAUUGGUAAUUUUGAGGAAAUUUUCUGUUUUUUUGUUAUUAUCUUGAAUAUUAUUAUAGAUAGAGAUAAACUGUAAACAGCAAUAAUGUACAGCAAAGUAAGAACUAAAAAUAAGUCAGUAUGACCAAAAUAGUCAAUUGACCCCCUAAGGAGUUAUUGCCCUUCAUAGCCAAUUUUUAACAAUUUUCUUAAAAUUUGAAGAUUUUCAAUAACAUUUUCCACAGAAAGUACUGUUAUAGAUAGAGAUAAUUGUAAGCAGCAAGAAUGUUUAGUAAAGUAAGAUCUACAAACACAUCACCAUCACCAA